GACGAACGCUGGCGGCGUGCUUAACACAUGCAAGUCGAGCGGUAAGGCCCUUUCGGGGGUACACGAGCGGCGAACGGGUGAGUAACACGUGGGUGACCUGCCCUCAGCUCUGGGAUAAGCCUGGGAAACCGGGUCUAAUACUGGAUAUGACUCCAUGACGCAUGUUGUGGGGUGGAAAGCCUUGUGCGGCUGAGGAUGGGCCCGCAGCCUAUCAGCUUGUUGGUGGGGUGAUGGCCUACCAAGGCGACGACGGGUAGCCGGCCCGAGAGGGCGACCGGCCACACUGGGACUGAGACACGGCCCAGACUCCUACGGGAGGCAGCAGUGGGGAAUCUUGCGCAAUGGGCGAAAGCCUGACGCAGCAACGCCGCGUGAGUG
rnacentral:rRNA from 1 species